UACAGAGGUCUCAAGCGUUGUUCGGAUUCAUUGGGCGUAAAGGGUGCGUAGGCGGCGCGGUAAGUCGGGUGUGAAAUCUCGGAGCUUAACUCCGGAACUGCAUUCGAUACUGCCGUGCUUGAGGACUGGAGAGGAGACUGGAAUUUACGGUGUAGCGGUUAAAUGCGUAGAUAUCGUAAGGAAGACCAGUGGCGAAGGCGGGUCUCUGGACAGUUCCUGACGCUGAGGCACGAAGGUCAGGGGAGCAAACGGG
rnacentral:rRNA from 1 species